rnacentral:lncRNA from 1 species
CCCAUCAACCGCGUCUAGAGUAUCUCAUCUACCGCUCGUCAGAGAGCAUCCCGUCUACCGCGUCCUAAGAGAGCACCCGUCUACCGCUCUAAAGAGCAUCCCGUCUACCGCUCUAGAGAGAGCACCCUCACCGGGUCUGAGAGGCAUCCCGUCUACCGCGUCUAGAGAGAGCAUCCGCCCGUCUAGAACACGGUCUAGAGAGAGCAUGCCCGUCUACGCGUCUAGAGAGAGCAUCCCGUCUACCGCGUCUAGAGAGCAGCCGUCUACCGCGUCAGAGAGACAUCCCGUUAACCGCGUCUAGAGAGCAUCCCGUCUACCGCGUCUAGAGAAGAGCAUCCCGUCUACCGCGUCUAGAGGACAUCCCAUCAAUUACCGCGUCUAGAGAGCAUACCCAUCUACCACCGCGUCUAGAGGAUAUCCCAUCUACCGCGUCUAGAGAGAGCAUGGGACACCCUACUGUCAGUAUGGUACUUUGAAGAGACAGACACGCGUUGGUUACCUUCAUCAGGGCGUCCCCAGGUACUUGGUCACCUGCGGGGCCAGACCGAGGGGACAACAGAGCCUGAGGUCGUUGAAGGCGUCAGAUGUUGUUGAGGAAGCAGGCAGAGGGGGGAAGUCCAGCAGAGCCAUGGGGGGGGCUGGGGUACCUGGCUGGGUACUGGGGGGCUGGAGGGUACCUGGCAUGGAGCCCCACCCAGCAUAGGGGCAGAGAUCAGAGUGUACAGGUUCAUGUCCUCCUGGAACCUGUCUAUGGCUUCCCUACGCUUUACGGAAGGUAUCGCCCGCCACGCGCUGGAACAUCGGGGCCACUGGCCGCGGAAGUUCCUGCCCCAACACACUGAAGGACGCCGAAAUACAGCACUGUCCCAGCAGAGUCAGGCGUCGCGCCCACCCCCCUCUGGAGGUCUCGGUCCAGGGUCACCAGAAACUAGACACCGCUGCACACCACGCCGUGGAAGAUGGCCCCUCGUUCACCGCCUGGCCUGAACACCUUUCAACCAACAACCGUACAUCACAAGGCUGCCCCAUCACCACCUUCACACAGACACCGUACAUCACAGGGCUGCCCCCUCGUUCACAACAGACACGCCGUACUACAAGCCGCCCCUCAUUCACCAACAGACCGUACAAUCACAAGCUGCCCCCUCUCACACCUUUCACCAUCAGACACCGUACAUCACAAGGCUGCCCCCUCAUAUCACCACGAGACACCGUACAUCACAAGGCUGCCCACUCAUUCCACCACCACAGACACCGUACAUCACAACAGGCCUGUCCCCUCAUUCAACACAUUUCACCACAGACACCAGUACAUCACAAGGCUGCCCCUCGUUCACCACAGACACCGUCACAUCACAAGACUGCCCCCUCAUUCAACACCUUUCACCACAGACCACCGUACAUCACAAGGCUGCCCCCUCGUUCACCACAGACACCGUACAUCACAAGGCUGCCCCCUCAUUCAACACCUUUCACCACAGACACCGUACAUCACAAGGCUGCCCAGCCAGUGACCUGACACUUCAGGUGGACUAUUGACCUGUCUGUACCAAAUCCACAGUACUGACGGGCUUUUCCAGAACACAUAUGGACAUAUUAAACACAUCUUUAGAUAAUUCUUGUUGGGUUUAAUCUUCAUAUUUAUGUAAAUCGUAUCAAAUAAUUCAGCCUUAAAUUAAAUAAAGCAUUGUCACCGGGAGACAGCAGGGGGUCCUCGUCAGAGAAGAUGGCUCUGUACUGGGUGAUGAUGUCAAACAGAUGUACCUGGAACAGAGGAGACAAAUGUCAGAGAAUUAAAAUCCUGUUCCUGGGUCCUUCAUUCCACUGCUAGAUAACAGAAGCCAGGUUACACACGCGACAGGCCUCGAUGGUCUGGUGAUGUGGCAGUAAGGGUCUCAUCAGGGACAGUGACAGGAUGGAAUGGAGCCAGCUGCCCCCGCCUGCAGGAACUUGACCCGUAGCUCCGCCUCCGUGAACACGUCCAUCCUGCGUAGGUAGCCAAUCACACGCAGGCACACAGGAAGUGGGAGUUGCUACGAAGCUGUUGCAACAGCUGGUUCAGCAUGAGCUGAGCCGACUGACGCACCUCGUGACGAUGCCCUGAAGAAGACCAGGCCAUUACAGCGAGGUCAGGGAAUCACACUGUCGU